UAGGGAGCAAGCGUUAUCCGGAUUUAUUGGGUGUAAAGGGUGCAUAGACGGAGAAGCAAGUUGGUUGUGAAAUCCCUCGGCUCAACUGAGGAACUGCAACCAAAACUACUUCCCUUGAGUGUUGGAGAGGAAAGUGGAAUUCCUAGUGUAGCGGUGAAAUGCGUAGAUAUUAGGAGGAACACCAGUGGCGAAGGCGACUUUCUGGACAAUAACUGACGUUGAGGCACGAAAGCGUGGGGAGCAAA
rnacentral:rRNA from 1 species